GUCUACGGCCAUGCCACCCCGAACACGCCCGAUCUCGUCUGAUCUCGGAAGCUAAGCAGGGUCAGGCCUGGUUAGUCCUUGGAUGGGAGACCACCUAGGAAGACCAGGUGCUGUAGGCG
rfam:Pteropus alecto contig35271, whole genome shotgun sequence.